GUUACAGUGAGCUCUGUGAUGGGGGUGACUGAGGUGACAGUGAGCUCUGUGAUGGGGGAGUGACUGAGGUUACAGUGAGCUCUGUGAUGGGGAGUGACUGAGAUUACAGUGAGCUCUGUGAUGGGGGAGUGACUGAGGUUACAGUGAGCUCUGUGAUGGGGGGGUGACUGAGGUUACAGUGAGCCCUGUGAUGGGGGGUGACUGAGGUUACAGUGAGCUCUGUGAUGGGGUGACUGAGGUUACAGUGAGCUCUGUUAUGGGGAGUGACCGAGGUUACAGUGAGCUCUAUGAUGGGGUGACUGAGGUUACAGUGAGCUCUGUGAUGUGGGGUGACUGAGGUUACAGUAAGCUCUGUGAUGGGGUGACAGAGGUUACAGUGAGCUCUGUGAUGGGGUGACUGAGGUUACAGUGAGCUCUGUGAUGGGGAGUGACUGAGGUUACAGUGAGCUGUAUGAUGGGGGGUUGACUGAGGUUACAGUGAGCUCUGUGAUGGGGGGU